rnacentral:rRNA from 1 species
AUUGAAUGAACUUGGUGUGGUUGUAGCUGGCCCUCUUGAAAAGGGCAUGUGCACACCCACCAUCCUCAUCUCUCCACCUGUGCACCUCUUGUAGACUUGGAUUGACUUUCCGAGGCAACUCGGUCGGGAGGACUGCUGGCACUAGCUGGCUUUCCUUGCAUUUCCAAGUCUACGUUUUUCAUAUACCCUAUCGUAUGUAAUAGAAUGUAUCAUUGGGCACUUGUGCCUAUAAACCUUAUACAACUUUCAGCAACGGAUCUCUUGGCUCUCGCAUCGAUGAAGAACGCAGCGAAAUGCGAUAAGUAAUGUGAAUUGCAGAAUUCAGUGAAUCAUCGAAUCUUUGAACGCACCUUGCGCUCCUUGGUAUUCCGAGGAGCAUGCCUGUUUGAGUGUCAUUAAAUUCUCAACCUUUAUCAGCUUUUGUUGAUAAUGGCUUGGAUAUGGGGGUUUAUUUUUGCUGGCUUCUUCACGGAUGGUCAGCUCCCCUUAAAUGCAUUAGCCGGUGCCCCGCGUGGACUGUCUAUUGGUGUGAUAAUUAUCUACGCCGUGGACAUCUGCAGUCAUAUGGGUUUGCACUGCUUCUAACCGUCUGUUCAUUCAGACAAUAUAUGACAAUUUGACCUCAAAUCANGUAGGACUACCCGCUGAACUUAAGCAUAUCAAUAAGCGGAGGAAAAGAAACUAACAAGGAUUCCCCUAGUAACUGCGAGUGAAGCGGGAAAAGCUCANAUUUAAAAUCUGGGNCNGUCUCNGGCCGUCCGAGUUGUAAUCUAGAGAAGUGUUAUCCGCGCUGGGAC